CCCACAGGGGGUAAAGACAGGGCCAGAGGAAGACAUCUAUCUGACUGACUGGCGCUUACCACAGAAGAUUUGGAGCCCAUUAGUUCUUCCCUCAUCGUGUGAGAGGAUUGGAGCAUGGAUUACUGACCUGACCCCGCUAAUUUUUUCAAAUCAUCUCGAUGGACAGAUUUAAUGGAGAGAUGGACUUCGACCUUGAGCACUGACAAAGGGCAGCUGGGCAUAUUCUGGGUUGCCUUUUUUUUCAAAGGACGAUUGGAU